rnacentral:rRNA from 1 species
UACGGGGGGAGCAAGCGUUGUUCGGAUUUACUGGGCGUAAAGGGCGCGUAGGCGGCCACCGCAAGUCGACUGUGAAAUCUCCGGGCUUAACCCGGAAAGGUCAGCCGAUACUGCGGGGCUAGAGUGCAGAAGGGGCAACUGGAAUUCUCGGUGUAGCGGUGAAAUGCGUAGAUAUCGAGAGGAACACCUGCGGCGAAGGCGGGUUGCUGGGCUGACACUGACGCUGAGGCGCGAAAGCUAAGGGAGCGAACGGG